rnacentral:piRNA from 1 species
GCCAGUCUUAUAGCACGAAAGGAAG